GAUGAACGCUAGCUACAGGCUUAACACAUGCAAGUCGAGGGGCAGCAUUUCAGUUUGCUUGCAAACUGGAGAUGGCGACCGGCGCACGGGUGAGUAACACGUAUCCAACCUGCCGAUAACUCGGGGAUAGCCUUUCGAAAGAAAGAUUAAUACCCGAUGGUAUAAUCAGACCGCAUGGUCUUGUUAUUAAAGAAUUUCGGUUAUCGAUGGGGAUGCGUUCCAUUAGGCAGUUGGUGAGGUAACGGCUCACCAAACCUUCGAUGGAUAGGGGUUCUGAGAGGAAGGUCCCCCACAUUGGAACUGAGACACGGUCCAAACUCCUACGGGAGGCAGCAGUGAGGAAUAUUGGUCAAUGGGCGCAGGCCUGAAACCAGCCAAGUAGCGUGAAGGAUGACUGCCCUAUGGGUUGUAAAACUUCUUUUAUAUGGGAAUAAAGUUUUCCACGUGUGGAAUUUUGUAUGUACCAUAUGAAUAAGGAUCGGCU
rnacentral:rRNA from 1 species